rnacentral:lncRNA from 1 species
AUGCCCGGGGGAGCUGCACCCCCCCCCCGGCUCCUGCCUGGGCACCCAGCCCCACGGGGACCCUGCGGGUGCCCGGGGUCCGUCCUGCUUGGGGGGUCCCGGGGUGGGCUCAGCAUCGCCGCUCCCCGCGCCCAGCACCGGCCCCGGCGAGAGCGGAGCUGGGGAGGCCCUGGGGAGGGUUUUGUCCCCCCCCCCAGGACCCCGGUGAUGAAGAACUGCAAAUGGCAAUGGGACCUGCCUGCCACGAGCCCCUCGCCGAGUUGCUUUUCUGUGAAUAAAACCAGCCCUGCCCAGGCCCCCGCGCCUCCUGUGCUCUCCUGUGCGCUCCCAGCACCCCUGGAGCCGCCUGCUGGGGGGACGCAGGCGCUGGCCCCAAAAUCUGGGGUGUCCUGGGGGUGCUCCUGGGCUGGGGGGAGCCGGGGGUACCCCGCUAUGGCUGGGCCUGCACCCCAAGACCCACACAGGGACAGUGCUGGGGUCUUCUGCGGGGCCAUGGGGACAUGGCCGGGGUGGGCACAGGGACACGGGAUGGGGACAUUGCAGGGCACGGGGAUGGGGGCACUGCAGAUGAUGGGCAAGGGGACACCGCACAGAACCACGGACUGGUUUGGGUUGGGAGGGACCUCAAAGCCCCCCCAGUCCCACCCCCCUGCCCCCAGCCCCAGCUGCCCAAAGCCCCAUUCACCCCCUCCAAGCUCAGCACCGGAGCCCCCCGCACCCGGAGCCAUCCCUGGGGGUGCUGGGGAGGGGGCUCGGGGCACUGCAGCCCCUGGGGGCCAGGAGCUGCCGGUGGCCGGAUCCGUCCCCAGCAGGGCCCCGGCACACACGGUCCCUUGUGUGGCCGUGGGGCCGCAGCCAGACCCCGCUGCAGGAAGGGCAGAGACCCGGCGGCCCCGCACAAGCCGCCUUUGUUCCCCGCCAGCUUCCUCGGCAGAUCUGGGGGGGCCCCGGGGGCCUGGCGUGGGCGACGGUGCCCACAAGGCUGGGGGGGUGCCCAUGGCCCCAUCCUGUGCCGGGGGCACGUGCUGGCCGCCAGCCUCGCCGCAGCCCCUUGGGGAUGGUGCAAAGACUCCCCAAACCUCCCAGACCCCACAGAGCCCCCCAGGCACUCUGUGGGUGCCCCACACACCCCGUCCCCAUGUCCCCAGGGUGCUGCCCCCACGGGGACCCCAGGGCUGCAGC